UUCAUGGCAACAGACUCCACAACAACAAUGACUUUUAUCAGCAUCUUCAUCUGGGCACUUGUCAUCUGCACUCAGGAAUCCAGUGGACAGUAUACUGUGACUCAGACUCCAGCAGUGAAAUCUGUUCUCCCAGGAGAUACAGUCGCUCUGAGCUGUAAAACCAGCACCGCAGUGGCCACUGCUAGCAAUUCCCACCUCCUAGCCUGGUACCAACAGAAACCUGGAGAAGCUCCCAAACUCCUGAUCUAUGAAGCAAGUAAACUUCAGUCUGGGAUUCCAACUCGUUUCAGUGGCAGUGGAUCUGGGACUGACUUCACUCUGACCAUCAGUGGAGUCCAGGCUGAAGAUGCAGGAGAUUACUAUUGUCAGAGUUUCCACUACCCCAGCAGUAGAGCUGUGUUCACACAUCCUGCUGUCCUGGGAGUGUUCAUGCUAAACUGCUAA